UGUUCCUUCUCCAGCGCCAUGCCUCUCUGGAUGCUGCCAUGCUUCCUGCUGCGAUGAUAAUGGACUGAAGCUCUAAACCUGUUGAAAUCGUCCUUCUCCCUCUGGUGGAACUAGCCAGCAGUGGCAAAGUCUCUUCCCACCAGUGUCAUCACUGGGGAUGGCUUAAUGAUGAGUUUUCAGGUGGAAAAGUGAAUGGUGCAUAGUGGAUGCCUGCUAAAGCCUGGAUGGAUGACUGGAUUAAUUAAACCUUAAGGGAGAC